rfam:Schistosoma haematobium scaffold417_10, whole genome shotgun sequence.
AUCCAGCUGACAAGUCCCAGAUAGAACGGGACGCGCAUCCUGGAU